CUUGGUCAUUUAGAGGAAGUAAAAGUCGUAACAAGGUUUCCGUAGGUGAACCUGCGGAAGGAUCAUUACCUAGAGUUUGUAGACUUCGGUCUGCUACCUCUUACCCAUGUCUUUUGAGUACCUUCGUUUCCUCGGCGGGUCCGCCCGCCGAUUGGACAACAUUCAAACCCUUUGCAGUUGCAAUCAGCGUCUGAAAAAACAUAAUAGUUACAACUUUCAACAACGGAUCUCUUGGUUCUGGCAUCGGUGAAGAACGCAGCGAAAUGCGAUAAGUAGUGUAAAUUGCAGAACUCAGUGAAUCAUCGAAUCUUUGAACGCACAUUGCGCCCUUUGGUAUUCCAAAGGGCAUGCCUGUUCGAGCGUCAUUUGUACCCUCAAGCUUUGCUUGGUGUUGGGCGUCUUGUCUCUAGCUUUGCUGGAGACUCGCCUUAAAGUAAUUGGCAGCCGGCCUACUGGUUUCGGAGCGCAGCACAAGUCGCACUCUCUAUCAGCAAAGGUCUAGCAUCCAUUAAGCCUUUUUUUCAACUUUUGACCUCGGAUCAGGUAGGGAUACCCGCUGAACUUAAGCAUAUCAAUAAGCGGAGG
rnacentral:rRNA from 1 species